UCUUCUUUUCUUCCUUCUUCUUUCCUUUUGGUAGCUCUCACUUCUUUCCACUCUCCUCCUGUCAAACCAGCAGCUGCCACCUCCCACCAGCCACUUUUCAAGCCAGUUCUGGUCGCCGGCUAGCCACCUUUUCUGGCCAACAUUCAUGCAAGCCUUUAGUUCACCCAUUUAGCUCCAAAUCAAGGUGCAAUUGAAGGAGUCUACUCUUGGAUUCUAUUGUUGAUUGGAGUAGCAAGCUUGAGUAGGUGAAGUUCAAGAACUUGGAAAG